GUCAGUGUAGUGCAGUGGUUUGAACAUUGGAUUACAACUCUGGAGGCUAGGAUUCAAUUCGCUGCUCAGCCA